GAUGAACGCUGGCGGCGUGCCUAAUACAUGCAAGUCGAGCGAACAGACGAGGAGCUUGCUCCUCUGACGUUAGCGGCGGACGGGUGAGUAACACGUGGAUAACCUACCUAUAAGACUGGGAUAACUUCGGGAAACCGGAGCUAAUACCGGAUAAUAUAUUGAACCGCACGGUUCAAUAGUGAAAGACGGUUUUGCUGUCACUUAUAGAUGGAUCCGCGCCGCAUUAGCUAGUUGGUAAGGUAACGGCUUACCAAGGCAACGAUGCGUAGCCGACCUGAGAGGGUGAUCGGCCACACUGGAACUGAGACACGGUCCAGACUCCUACGGGAGGCAGCAGUAGGGAAUCUUCCGCAAUGGGCGAAAGCUUGACGGAGCAACGCCGCGUGAGUGAUGAAGGUCUUCGGAUUGUAAAACUCUGUUAUUAGGGAAGAACAAAUGUGUAAGUAACUAUGCACGUCUUGACGGUACCUAAUCAGAAAGCCACGGCUAACUACGUG
rnacentral:rRNA from 1 species